AUUGAACGCUGGCGGCAUGCCUUACACAUGCAAGUCGAACGGCAGCGCGGACUUCGGUCUGGCGGCGAGUGGCGAACGGGUGAGUAAUACAUCGGAACGUACCCUGUUGUGGGGGAUAACUAGUCGAAAGAUUAGCUAAUACCGCAUACGACCUGAGGGUGAAAGUGGGGGAUCGCAAGGCCUCACGCAGCAGGAGCGGCCGAUGUCUGAUUGGCUAGUUGGUGGGGUAAAGGCCCACCAAGGCGACGAUCAGUAGCUGGUCUGAGAGGACGAUCAGCCACACUGGGACUGAGACACGGCCCAGACUCCUACGGGGGGCAGCAGUGGGGAAUUUUGGACAAUGGGGGCAACCCUGAUCCAGCAAUGCCGCGUGUGUGAAGAAGGCCUUCGGGUUGUAAAGCACUUUUGUCCGGAAAGAAAUCGCGCUGGUUAAUACCUGGCGUGGAUGACGGUACCGGAAGAAUAAGCACCGGCUAACUACGUG
rnacentral:rRNA from 1 species